GACGCAGGUGUGCCUUCGGGAAAUGUAAGACAGGUGCUGCAUGGCUGUCGUCAGCUCGUGUUGUGAAAUGUUGGGUUAAGUCCCGCAACGAGCGCAACCCUUAUCCUUGUUUGCCAGCACUUCGGGUGGGAACUCCAGGGAGACUGCCGGUGAUAAACCGGAGGAAGGUGGGGACGACGUCAAGUCAUCAUGGCCCUUACGAGUAGGGCUACACACGUGCUACAAUGGCGCAUACAGAGGGCGGCCAACUUGCGAAAGUGAGCGAAUCCCAAAAAGUGCGUCGUAGUCCGGAUUGGAGUCUGCAACUCGACUCCAUGAAGUCGGAAUCGCUAGUAAUCGUGGAUCAGAAUGCCACGGUGAAUACGUUCCCGGGCCUUGUACACACCGCCCGUCACACCAUGGGAGUGGGCUGCAAAAGAAGUGGGUAGUUUAACCUUCGGGAGGACGCUCACCACUUUGUGGUUCAUGACUGGGGUGAAGUCGUAACAAGGUAACCG
rnacentral:rRNA from 1 species